rnacentral:rRNA from 1 species
UACGAGGGGGGCUAGCGUUGUUCGGAAUUACUGGGCGUAAAGCGUAUGCAGGCGGAUCGUUAAGUCGGGGGUGAAAUCCCGAGGCUCAACCUCGGAACUGCCUUUGAUACUGCAAAUCUCGAGUCCGGAAGAGGUGAGUGGAAUUCCUAGUGUAGAGGUGAAAUUCGUAGAUAUUAGGAAGAACACCAGUGGCGAAGGCGGCUCACUGGUCCGGUACUGACGCUGAGGUGCGAAAGCGUGGGGAGCAAACAGG